GACAAACGCUGGCGGGGUGCAUGAGACAUGCAAGUCGUACGGGGUUCCAUCGGGCUUGCUCGUUGGAACCUAGUGGCGGACGGCUGAGUAACGCGUAGGUGAUCUGCCCGGAAGUGGGGAAUAACUGCCCGAAAGGGUGGCUAAUACCGCAUGUGGUCGACGAUUCGGUUUGUCGUCCAAAGGAGUAAUCCGCUUCCGGAGGGGCCUGCGUCCGAUUAGCUAGUUGGUGGGGUAAAGGCUCACCAAGGCGACGAUCGGUAGCUGGUCUGAGAGGAUGAUCAGCCAGACUGGGACUGAGACACGGCCCAGACUCCUACGGGAGGCAGCAGUGGGGAAUAUUGGACAAUGGGCGGAAGCCUGAUCCAGCAACGCCGCGUGAGGGAUGACGGCCUUCGGGUUGUAAACCUCUUUCAGUACCGACGAAGCGCAAGUGACGGUAGGUACAGAAGAAGCACCGGCCAACUACGUGCCAGCCGCCGCUGUAAAAC
rnacentral:rRNA from 1 species